AAGAAGCACAAGCUUUGUUGUUGGUGGGGAUGUGUGCUGUUGGAAGAUGAAGCUGCAGAGAAAGGAUUGGUGAAGAAAAGCAGGGAGCCUUUUGCCAAGAAAAAGAGGGAGGAAGCUUUGGGAAGGAGGAGGCUACUUGGGAAGAAAGAAGAGGAGAAUCCACUGCUGCUCACUUUUGCAUGAUUUGUGAAGCUGCCUACACACCGUAGCUUCCACGUCAGGUAGAAUGUUGAUCAUUCCCAGCGCUGGGGGUUGAUUUCUGGGUCUUUGACAUCUCCAAGAGGUCAAAGCAGCUUUGAAGAUUACACUCUUUGAUUAGCCCUCCAGCAUAUGAACUGGACCUUUGAGCAACCAUUUUAAUAAGGGAAUACUCUCAGGAGCUUUGGUGUUUCGCCCAUGGGAGGCUGGGGGCAAUAGCUCCAGCCACUCCCAUAUCAAAUUUGUCUCCCCCCCACCCCAAUUUGAUUGGCCAUCAACAAGAAACAGUCAAAAGGUAACAAUUUAAUAAAAGUUGCCAUUAGUUUAUUCCACC
rnacentral:lncRNA from 11 species